rnacentral:lncRNA from 1 species
GACAAAAAAAUUUAGUGUCUAGUGAAAGUAAAAAGAAGAAAAACAGAGCUAAGCCAAGGAAAUGAUUUCUUUCCCACCUACAAUGCAUGAAAAGAAAUUAACAUGAAAAGGGUCUGAGGAAGACAUUAAUAUUUUGAUAGUGGCAGAAGAAUGUUAUUUACAAAAAUAAUGACAAAUGUUGAAGAGAAAAUACAGGCUUCCUAGCAACUAGACCAAAGAUAAGAGUUAGCUGUCAUUUGAACACAGGCCCAUGGCACAAGUUCAGAAACGUAAAGUUACAGAGAAAAUAAAGACCCCCAGAGCAAAAUCACCACAGUCUCCAUGGAAAUCAAUUGGUUCAUUCUUCGUCUUAAGAGUCCAGCAUUCACUCAACAAACAUCUUAUGCUGCCAGGUUUCUCUAAUGCAGCAGAAUAAGAAACCAAGGACAAAGGGAGAGAAUUAAUACAAAUGUCUUCUCUUUAACUAACAGGAGUUUUGUAAAUAAAUAAACAAAUAAAAACAAAAACACAAACAAAAAACUGUGAACGCUACAGGAAAUAAAAUCAAAGCCUGAGGCCCAGCACAGGGCAUUUCAGAUACUUCAUGAAAUGCCAUCCUUCCAAGAUAUCCUUACAAGUAGUCAGUGUCCAGCCACAGUAUCACUAUGUCACAUUGAUAUCAGGGCAUUUGAGGAAAAAUGGGUCCUUAGAAAGCUUUUUGCCCCCCUCCAUCUAGAGACUAAUGGUAUGCUCUACCCUGCAGAGACUAGGCCCAGACAGAAGGAUAUGCCACAGCAGGAGACAGGAUCCAGAAUGAGAAUAGACAAAAGACAUUUUCAAAAGUCCAGGUUCACAGCUUGACAGAAGCCUUCACACAGAAAGAGCCAUUGCACAUUGGACAGAUGAUCCCAGAAUGGAAGUUUCCAGAGGAAAUAACAGUCAAUAAACAGAAAA